rnacentral:rRNA from 1 species
CCCUUAGAUGUUCUGGGCUGCACGCGCGCUACACUGAUGCACUCAACGAGUUUACGACCUUGCCCGAUAGGGUUGGGUAAUCUUUUUAGAAUGCAUCGUGAUGGGGAUAGAUUAUUGCAAUUAUUAAUCUUCAACGAGGAAUUCCUAGUAAGCGCGAGUCAUCAGCUCGUGCUGAUUACGUCCCUGCCCUUUGUACACACCGCCCGUCGCUCCUACCGAUUGAGUGCUCAGGUGAAUAAUUCGGACUGCAGCAAUGUUUGGAUCCCGAACGUUGCAGCGGAAAGUUUAGUGAACCUUAUCACUUAGAGGAAGGAGAAGUCGUAACA